rnacentral:tRNA from 1 species
AGUUAAUUAAAUUAAUUAAAAUAUUAAUUUUGAAAAUAAUAAAUAGAAAUAUUUGUAUUAACUUA